UACGAACUGUGCGAACGUUAUUCGGAAUCACUGGGCUUACAGGGUGCGUAGGCGGCUUGUUAAGUAGGGUGUGAAAGCCCCCGGCUCAACCGGGGAAUCGCGCCCUAAACUGGCGAGCUGGAGUGAGAUAGGGGUGUGUGGAACUUCCGGUGGAGCGGUGAAAUGUGUUGAUAUCGGAAGGAACGCCGGUGGCGAAAGCGACACACUGGAUCUUGUCUGACGCUGAGGCACGAAAGCCAGGGGAGCGAACGGG
rnacentral:rRNA from 1 species